rnacentral:misc_RNA from 1 species
AUAGAUAGAAAAUGCAGCUAUGGGACUGUUAGAAAAAGAUUGUAAGAUUAUAUCCUUCAUAUAAGGUAGCUGGGCUGUUCUUGGUUUUGAUCAUAGAUAGAAAGAUCUGUGAGCCUCAAUUGCUAUGCAGUUUCUGCAUAGAAACUAGAGUGAACCAGUAAUUGCUGGAUGAUUUUAUUGAGAUAACAGAAGCUGCUAAAUAUUUAAAUCAGUUUUUUUGCAUAAAUUCAGUAUAGAAAAUUAUUAUUUUUCUUUAUUCGUAGUGAGAUUAAGAAGCACGA